AAACACCUAAACUGACGGGGUAAGUAGAAGAUCUACCUGUAAAGUGCCCGAGUCAUGCGCAUGUGGGCGUGAGGCCAUGUGUGAAGCGUUGACAGGGUUGCAAAUAGGCCAAGUAUUGAGCCCCGUAAUAAAACAAUUCCAGGAUGCCGACGCCUUAGGAGGCUGCGGAAGGCCACAACCGGUAGUUCGCUUUGGCAAGAGCUGCUGGUAUCCUGCGGGGUCUAAGACCU
rfam:Marine metagenome ctg_1101668555548, whole genome shotgun sequence.